rnacentral:tRNA from 1 species
CGUAGCUCAGUUGGUAGAGCAUGCGCGUACAAAGCGUAGGCGGCGUCCAUGCGUGGGUUCGAAUCUCACCG